rnacentral:tRNA from 2 species
GGGCCAUUAGCUCAGUCCGGUUAGAGCGCACCCCUGAUAAGGGUGAGGUCCGAGGUUCAAGUCCUCGAUGGCCCA